ACCCGCUCCUGUCCUCUCGCAUAUCACUCACAGACGGGGAUCUGACAGCAACAACAAACCUACAGUGAGUGAUCUCUCCCCAGCGCGAAUCCGCCAUCAAGAUCAGGGAAGAGGAGGAGGAGGAAGAAGAGGAAGAGGAGGAGGAAGAGGAGGAGGAGGAGGAGGAGAAGGAGGAGAAGGAGAAGGAGGAGAAGGAGGAGGUGGUAAAGGAAGAGGAGGUGGAGGAAGAGGAGGAAGAAGAGGAGGAGGGAAAGAGAAGGAAGAAGAAAAAGAAGAAAUCCACUGUCUUCCCGGGAUUGUUUCCCCCCUUAUCUUUAAGCGCGAGUGUGCGCGUGGCGCGUGUGCGCCCCUCAUCCCUGCCAUCUGAACCCCGUCUUGGAUGUUUAAUAAAGAAAUCAAGUGUCUCACCAGUCACC
rnacentral:lncRNA from 1 species